UUGACCGUGAAGCCCCAGGCGCCCGCCUCGGCGGCGGUCAGCUCCGGCUCGCCGAUGUGGUCGCCUCCGGCGGCCGAGCCGACCACCGAGGGCUCGUCGAAGGCGCCCUCGGUCACCUUGUCGACCUUGCCGUGGGCGAUGAGGAGGAGCUCAUCGGCCGGGCGCCCGGCCUCCACGAGCACAUCGCCGGGCGCGAACUCCCGCUGGGCGAAGCGGUCCGCCAGGGCCCCGAGCACCGCGGUGUCCUCGAAACCGCGCAGCAGCGGCAGCUCGCGCAGCUCGACCGGGAUGACCCGCACCGCGGACCCGGUGGUGGUGAACUCCACCCGGCCGUCGCCGAGGGUGUGGGACGCCCGGCGGUUCACCCGGUAGGAACCGCCCGGAACCUGCACCCACGGCAGCAUGCGCAGCAGCCACCGGGAGGUGACGCCCUGCAUUUGCGGAACGGAUUUGGUCGUCGUCGCCAGAUUCCGCGCGGCCGCCGUGCCGAGACUCAAUGGCGGCUGCGAAAUUUCGG
rfam:Streptomyces autolyticus strain CGMCC0516, complete genome.